GAUGAAGAACGUAGCGAACGUGCGAAACGUAAUGUGAAUUGCAGAAUUCAGUGAAUCAUCGAAUCUUUGAACGCAUCUUGCGCUCAUUGGUAUUCCGAGGAGCAUGCCUGUUUGAGUGUCGUGAAUACUCUCAACUUCAACCCUUUUUUCGGAAAGGGAGGAAGGUUGGACUUGGGUGUUUGUUGAAGUGCGAGCUUCGACUCAUCCUAAAUGCAUUAGCGAUCUGCCUCGAUCACACACAAUGUGAUAAUUAAAACUAAAGCAUUGUUUAAUGAUCAAGUCGAGACUGCUUCUAACUGUCGCAAGACAAUAACGUGCAUACAUUUGUGCAUGUCAUUUGACCUCAAAUCAGGUAGGACUACCCGCUGAACUUAAGCAUAUCAAUAAGCGGAGGA
rnacentral:misc_RNA from 1 species